rnacentral:tRNA from 2 species
GGCUUGUUGGUCAAGUGGUCAAGACGCCACCCUCUCACGGUGGAAACAGGGGUUCGAUCCCCCUACAGGCUACCA